GGGCAUCGCUGCAUCAGAGUUUCCUCCAUUGUGCAAGAUUCCCCACUGCUGCCUCCCGUAGGAGUUUGGGCCGUGUCUCAGUCCCAAUGUGGCUGAUCAUCCUCUCAAAUCAGCUAUUGAUCAUAGUCUUGGUAGGCCAUUACCCUACCAACAAACUAAUCAAGUGCGGGCUCAUCCAAUGGUGCAUAAAGCUUUCUCCGUAAAGACUUAUCCGGUAUUAGCACAAGUUUCCUCGUGUUAUUCCAGGCCAAAGGGUAGAUACCCACAUGUUACUCACCCGUCUGCCACUAAGUAUUGCUACUUCGUUCGACUUGCAUGUGUUAGGCGUGCCGCCAGCGUACGUUCUGAGCCAGGAUCAAACUCU
rnacentral:rRNA from 1 species